rnacentral:lncRNA from 1 species
AGGAUUUUGGGGAGCAGAAGCAAGCAUACAGAAGCAGAUGCAUGGUUACAGGGAUAUAAUUGGUGGAUUCUAAUAUGGCAAGGGUUUAGCCCGGGGGCAAGUUUCUUAGCUACCUUCUUGGAACAUAACGACUGACUCGGCCCCCCACCAGGGUGUGGGACCUCUCCCGGGGCUUUUUUCAUUGUCAGGUGUUCAACCGCAGUCGUCCUGUUGCCAGGCCUUCAACCAAACACAUCCUGCUUGGCAGCCGCUUUGUACUCAGUGUUUUAACCUUUCUCUGAACCAGUCAUCUUAAGUACAGCCUUGCAAAAUGGCGUUACUGCUGCUAAGCUGGGGUCUUUCACCUUCAAGGCACAGAUGAGGGCCUGCCUCAUAGCACCAUUUAAAACAAACAAACAAAAACAAAAAAAAAACUCAAAACCAAACAAAAAACCCAACUCUGCCUUUGGUUUCUACUCAGGAGAAUCUAUCCCGUAAUUUCCCUGGUGUGGAAUUACAGUUUCCGCCCACUACAGCUCCCAUUCGAACAAUGAACCAAUCAGUGUCCAAAGGAAACCAAAGUAAUGAAUGGGACAGGCAGAGCCCGGAACGUUCUGGCUGCUGAUGCCCCUGCUCAUUUUUUUGUCAGUGACACUGGUACUACUCUUGCAGACUAACUUUUGUAGUGAGACCUUAUGUCAGAACAUGAAACAAGUAAAAAUAAAACUAAUAAAAAGGAGGAAGGGGAGGACAAGUAUGAAAUAAAUAAAUAAAUAAAUAAAUAAAUAAAUAAAUAAAUAAAAAUAUGGUAGCACGUGCACGCCAUUGUAACAGGCAGGAGCUGAGACAGCAGGGUGUCAAGUUCAAAGCUGGCCUCACCUUCAGAGCGAGCCACCCCUCCCCCUUUUGAUGUAAGAUGUUUCCAUUUUGUACAUUUGAAAACGUUUAGCAUUAAAAUCAAAUGUUAAAGGCGUUUAUCUUUGUGAAGCUUUAUUUUACUACAAUUGUAAAGGUUAGUCUUCUAAGACCGGGCGCUUAGCACUGAUUUUUUUUUUAAUGGUUAUAUAAAAUGUCAGUUACCUGC